GGGUUUAGAAAUUUGUUGAUGACGUUUAGGGUUUAGUGUUUAGGAAUUAUUUUUAGUGUUUAUAAUUUAUGAUUUAAGAUUUAUCUACGAGUUUAGAGUUUAUCCAAGAGUUUAGAGUUUAUCCAAAAAUUUUGGGUUUAGGAUUUUGAUGAUGGCGUUUAUAGUGUUAAAAAAAAUUCUUUUUUUUCAGUCACUACCAUAUUUUAUUUAUUUUUACUUUUUAUUUAAAAUUAUAAUAUGAUUUGGCAAGAUUUUGUAUUUUUUUAAAAAAAUUGAAUAUAAAAUGACAAACUAUUAUGAACCUACAAGUUCAUCUUAGAAGGUUCAUCUUAGAGAAUGAACCUACAUGUUCAUCUUAUGGAGUGAACCUAAGAAAAAUUCUAUAUUUAGUGGCUUAGAAAUGUAAAACUAUUAGUUAUGGAAACUGAAGAUUUACAUCUUAGCUCAAGUAACGAUGAAAGGUGGUGAUCUAAAUUUGACUACUAAACCAAUAUUUGAAUGGAACAAAGUGAAAGGAAAUGUUUAGUUACGCUGAGAGAAGCAAAUCAAGUGAAAAAAGUAACUUUAUUUGAGUGUAAACCGUAAAGGAAUAAAUACCAUUUUUCAUGUUUACACUAACUAAUCUAUACUUAGGGUUUAGAGUUGAGGGGUGGGUAGGGUUUUUGGAAUGUGAAAUUUAGGAUUCUAAUAAAUAUAUAAAUAAAUACUUAAAAUAUAUAAAAAAAAUUUAAAAAUAGUUUCAAACAUAAUUUUCGAUUUUAAAAAGAAUUUAUGUUUUACAAAAUGUUUUUGAAAAGUUCGAAUUUGAAAAAUAUAAUUCAAAAACAUAAACUUUUGUUUUUUGUAUUUUUAGUAUUUUUAAUUUAUUAAAUAAUUAUUUAUUUUAUAUAUAUAGAACAAGAGUAUAAGAGUCGUUUACCACUUAAUGAAGAAGCAUUUUUGAAAAUGUCCCUUUAGUGGUGGUAAAAAUGAAUAAUGGUACCAUAAAAGUGGUAAACAUGAAAAUUUCUCUAAAACAAAUACCAAAACAUCGAUUAUAAAAUAAAAGCCAAAUUGUUAAAAAUUUAUAUAUGUCUUGUGGAGUCGUAGAUUUAAGAUGCAAGACUAAAGGGCCCCCAAGAUUAAAUUAAAAUAAAUUAAGUUAAAGGUUUCCAAAUACCACAAAUGAGGAUGUUACAAAAAUAUGGUCAGUAAUGUUUCACCAGAACUAGAUUACUGAAUCAUCUAUAUAUUAAUUUUGGAACAUUACAACAUGUUUUCAUAGAGACAUAUCAUUAUUAGGAAAAUUCUUAAAAUCCAUAAAAAAAUAAAUUGGUCAAUAUAAAUAUAUAUUAUGUUUUUGUUAAACUAACUAUCAAAAUGAUUAGUAGUGUACAAAAAAAUAUUAUCAAUUUUUUUCUUGAAUAAAACUUACGGGAUUACAUAACAUGAGUAACAUAUAUAUGACAAUUAAUGAUUAUGAAUAAUAUAUAUUUGAUAACAAUUUUUGUAUU
rnacentral:lncRNA from 1 species